CCCUUAGAUGUCCUGGGCUGCACGCGCGCUACACUGGAAGUUACGGAUUGAGAUACUACCUUGUCCGAAAUGGUCCGGGUAAUCACCUAAAAGCUUGUCAUAAUUGGAAUGGAUUAUUGUAACUAGUAAUCCUGAACGAGGAAUUCCUAGUAAGUCCCAGUCAACAGCUGGUACUGAUUACGUCCCUGCCCUUUGUACACACCGCCCGUCGCUACUACUGAUUGGACGUUUAAGCAAGAUUUUUAAACACUGACAGUGUGUAGUUCACGCUAUACUACAGUGAGAAGAAGAAGAUCGAGCUUACUUGUCUAGAGGAGGUAAAAGUCGUAACA
rnacentral:rRNA from 1 species